rnacentral:lncRNA from 1 species
UCUUAGGCCAGGGCCUGAACUACUCCCACCCUCUACCCCCCAAAUCUGGGCGGGCUGUGAACAACCACUCAGCGGGAUAGUUGACAGUCUCUGCCAACUCCCCUCAUUCCUCCACCGGAAUAUAUUAUCGGCCACCACCCGGCUGGCGGGCCUAGCAAGGAUUGUUAUCCCAGUUGUAAUGUCGACCAGGUUAAGGCCAGGACAUGGCCAGGGUCCCGAAACAAAUACGUGCGUAACCACACAUGUGGAAUCACGUCAGGAGCGGAGCUCCCCCCUCCACUCCAGCCCCGAAUCCUCGGAGCCCGGCAGGCCGCGGGCCAUUACGCAGGCCGAAGUCCGAGACCCGGGUGGAUUCAGGUUUACAUCCUCGGGGGUGGAAGCGGUGGGCGGCGCGGCUGCCAAGGUCUGGGGCCCAGGAACGCCGCUCCGAGCGCGAGGGGAGCCUGCGCCGCGGAGCCUCGGGGCCGCAAAGAGGCUCAAGCUGGGCAGAGGACGCGAUGGGUGCCCCUCUCCCGCACGCCGCCUGGAAACUGGAGCUCCCAGUUCCUGGGCCUUAGGUUUUCACUCACUUUGUUCUUUAACCCAUUUUUAAAAAGAGAUUCUUAAUUCGAAGCUAUAGAUGACUACAGCAGCCUCCUCUUCCCACUCCAGGCGCCUUCCAUCUCCCGGGGCCAUCGGAAUUGACAGCCAGCGGCGCACCAGCAAGUCCACGCACGCUCACGCACGUACACAUGCGCACAUGCAACGCACACCACUGAGGCUGCCGGGGUAGGGUAGGGCGAUCCUGGGUGCCGCGGUUGUUGUGGUCGUGCUAUCUCGGGGGUCUGGGAAUGUUUCUGAGCGUUUUGGUGCUCUUUAUUAAUAGUUCCCCUAGGAAGAACCAGCACUGCGCCCUGGCGCGCGGUGGCCCGGGCAGCGCACCCUUCUCAGUCUGCAAGCGGAGACGAGGGCGCGGCAUGGGCGCCCACACUCAUCUAUAAUCCUCAGCGGGCUGUACACAUCAAGGGGCUGAGAGGCCUUUUCUAGAGAGCCGCCCCUCGCCCUCCCCGCGGGAGAUGAUGUAUUUAUUCUUCGCACUUACUGUGCACUUAGCACCGUGAGGGCUGUUCUUUGCUCUUAGCAACGGAAACCCGCGGCUCCGCAGCCGUGACUCCCUGUGGCCCUUGAGCACGAGUCCGCCCGGCGGCGCGGGACCUUGGGCUUGAUCUUUCGAACUGGUAGCUAGGGCCGGCGGCGACCGACUGGGACAUCUUCCGCCCUGCCUGACCCAAGCCUCCUAGAUAUUGCGGCCUGCCACCUCGCUCCGGGGAAGGGAAGCGAGGGUCGGCCCUGCGUUUGCAUUGGGGAGUGAAAAUGCAAGGCGGGCUCCGGACUUCGAGUAGUUAAAGUACCGACGCAAAGCGCUUUCCUGGGCGCCUUCUUUGAGCUUCCAUAAAAAGAGUUUAAUUAAUAGCUGAGACGAAUCGCCCUGUCAGGUGACUUGGGCAAUCAGAAAAACUCCUCUGAAAUACAGAAAGAGUUGGAAGUUGUUACUCCUUGGCAAACCCCAACCCUCACCCGGAGUUUGCCUCCCUAGUCCUCUUGACUUCACUCACAACCCCCUGGAGAAGUCUCAGUGAUAGAUUAGGGAGUCGCUUAGGCGUUGCCCUGUCAUUCCCCCCCAACACGACCUUUCCUGGGACGACUCUGAACUCAGGAUCGAAACCUAUUUCCGCUCGGAUCCGGGUGGCCGAGCCCCACUCACUUCACCCUGGCGAGCCCAGCGGUUGCUGGAAAAUUGCGACUGCAGCGGGCGCGCGGCUUCGAGCGCGCUGCUCUCCGAAGCCGCUGCGAUGCUGAUUUAUGCUCGUGCCGCUCGCGAGAACCCCAACGCUUUGGCUAGGUUAAUUUUUGUCAAUUGUUCCUCAUCACACUGAGAUAGUUUGCAGCUUGAGGCGAGUUUUAUUUAUCACCCUGCACAUUUGAAAUACAGUCAGACAUAAAAAUAACUGACUUUGGGACUCUGGCGCAAUAUCGGAGCCGUCGGGGAAUAAUUUGGCUAACUGACUUGGACGUUUCACCUUCUAAACAGAAAUGCAACUCUCAGUCAAACUGUAAAUCAGAUUGUCUUCGGCAAUGAAAAAAAAUAACACAGGCACCAAACGCAGGAGGAAACGGAAACAAAAUGAAAGAAAACGCAGAUACUGACCAAAGCAAAACGAGCUUCAGAAACCCAGAUUAGAUUUUAAUUUUAGGCGUUGGACCUCAUCUAGAAUGUGGAUUCCUAAAUGUUUGGGGGGAAUCUAGGGUGCCUCCGCCCUAGGGGAUUCUAAGGUGCCCCCAGAAACUGGACUGAUAUUUCUUUUUAUUGUUACUGCUGUUUUUGUUAUUAAAUAAUAAAUGCUGUUUUCGGGGGGCCCUUGAAAAGCUCUAAUUGUAAAUGUUAACGAGAAUGGUCUGGGCAGGACAGGGUGGGAGUUCUGGGAGCCAUCUGAAACUUUAGAAAUAAGGAAAUCAGAAAUUUCCCAGGCACGUUCCUUGUUCCCAAAUAUCUGUGAAUAGACAGAAAAAAAAAUCUAAUAGUCUUUUGGCUUCAAGCGUUCCUCUCCCUCACCUCUCUGGAAGCCGCCCGUAUUGAAAGCUCAAUUUCUUGGAAGCCGCCAGUAUUGAAAGUAUUGAAAGCCUACUACUGUAGGUUUUUGUAUCACUCAUAGACCGAGUGGUCAAAAACCUAGCCAGGACUAACCUUUCAGUAUGGCAGAGAAGAGAAAACCCACACAGGCGACCACUCAGCAAUUGAUCACUUUGGGGAACUUAAAACACAACAAAAUAAAAAAGUUUUGCCAGUGUGGGGAGCAUCUGCUAUUAUUUUUGCAUCGUUUCUUACAACCCCAAUGUUCAUCCCCACCCCCGCAAGUAAAUUUCAUUCUAGCACAACAAAAUGGACACCAGCCUCAGCGUUUCCCUGACUCCCGCAAGGGAAAUCUGAAGAUGGUUUUCUUAACGCGAACCCAAAGCGACCUUAAAUGUAGGCACCUGCCCCACUCUUUGGGUAUUAAACAAGAAUAUAUUUGUUUAAACUCCUUUUUUUACCAAAACCAUUCACAUAGCUUGCCUCUAACAUUUCUCCAAAUAAACUGGAACAGGAGAGCUGUGACUCUUAAAAUCUACAAAUUGAAAUUAAAUUUAAAGAUACCACAGGGGGCUUCAUGUAGAAAACUGGAGGGAUUAUUUUCAAAUAACUUUGAAGGGAAGAUACCUUAGUAGUUGAUAGUGCCUUCUAUCCAUACCGAAUGCAUAAUAUUAAAUUAUGAUUGCAAUCAAAACGUGGUUUCUAAGGCAUUAAAGGAAAUAAAAUUAAAUAUAAUAUUUUGACGGAGAAAAAGAUCAGGGGGUAGUUGGAAAUUUUUCACAAAAGCUAAUUAAAUUGGUGUGGUUUUGACAUUUGUGUGAUCCAAUUCUAAUCUGGUGGUUUUCAUAUCGACCUCAAGCUGGUUUUGCUCAAAUUGACAUCUCUGCUUCUUCAGAGUGGGAACUCAGCAAAAGCAGCACGCUCUGCUGACGGGCAACUCUUGUGUCCUGAGUAAUCCUUUGCCAAUAGAUGGUCUGACAUCCUUUUCAGUAUAACCAGCUGGGAAAUUAAAAGAAAAAUGUUUGUCUCUCCGCAUAUUUAUUUUUAUUUGUUGUGUUUUCUUUAUUUCUAACACAUCAAGAUGAGGUCUUUCUCUUAGAAUCCCAAACCACAAAUAUCUCCCCCCAAAAAAUGUAUAUUUCAAAAUUAAAUCUACAGAUGUAAUACAUACUGUGAACCCUAUAAAAUGCGUUUACAAUGCUGACUUAAAGAAAGAAAUUUAUAACUUUCAUAUGUACCUUCCUUUUGCAAUAGGCAACUGCCAUAUGUUUCCGACUUCCAUAAUUCAGUUUUUCCUGGACAUCUGUAGCAGGUAGUGAGUGCUUCUUAAAGUACAUUUUAUGUAAUUUGAGAAGAAACCCGCACCAAAGACUAAAGGUUAACAUAAAAAAGCACAAGUCUUUCUAGAAAUGCAAGUUAUUCAAAAUUUGCAUCACCUAUUGUGCAUGGCCUGAGAGAGCUUUCCCCACCACCACCUUCUUCAAACUGAAUUUUGAAGUGCAGUAUUGUAUUUGCUGAGGGUUCUUUGCAAGCAACAUUUCCAAAAUGUCUAAAUGCUUUGGUAGAAUUUCUCUUGUUAUUGCUAGUCUUCAUACUUUUGUUCACAGAUUCUCAUUUGGCUCUAUCUUGAAAACCCAGGUUGGAACUGUUUUUCCAGUAAGAUUAUUUAUUUGAGACAAAUUUUAAUAUUUUUAUACUGAAAGGGGGGGGGAAGCCUUAUGUUUUUUUCAUCUAUUUUAAUUGUUCACCUUACACUCACUAAAGGAGAGUUUACACAAUUAAAAGUGAAAACCAAACCAAAAGUAAUACAGAAAAGUCAGAGCUUGUUCUCAAAUUUUUGGCUCCUGUGUUUAAAUUCAAGAUUUAUUCUUAAUGGUAAUACUAUUUUUCAAUAGCUCAUUUCUAUUUGUGUAGUUCUAGUGCUACCAUUAAAUUAAUUUGUUAAAAUCCUUUCAUUCAGAUGAAACUGAAAUGCUUCAUCUGUCAGUACAGAUGAAUAAAUUCCAGCCACAUUCUUUAUUGUUUAUACUUUCAGCAGAUUACAUAAAUGUGAGCAAAAUUUCCACUGUGUAAUAACUGUGGGUAUCUACAACUGUAAGAUAUGAGAACAGGGCCCAAUUUACAGCUAAUUAAUAAGUUGUAUAAAAAACUAAACACUAUACAUUGUGAUUCUUAAAUGGAGCCUACACAAAGACUCAGUUCCCUUUUCAAUUCAUUUUAUUAAACUAGCAAACUCAAGAUGGUCUUCGUUUAUGGGUAAAAACAACAUUAAACAUUUAAUUCAAAGAAUAUGAAGCUGCAUAUUUUAGUUAGCAACUUAGGCAUCAUUUUACAAAGCAUUAACUAUCAAGAUACCCUUUACAUAUGUAGAGAAUAUUAUUUAAUUUCCCCAUUCAUUGUCACAGUUUGAUUUAUGUCCACUCGGCCAGUUGCAAUAUUGGUAUCAGCAAUGUCUAACUACUCAUCUUUGGGUAUGCAUUUACAUCUAGGUGUUCAUUUUAUUACCUUCUUCAAGCCAGCUUAUAUUUGGAUCAGGUAUUAGUGAUAGAGACAAGUGUGUCCUUCUUGGACAUUUCUGUUACUAACCCCUUAUUAUAGUCAGGUUGUCAGAAGAAUGUGGGUCAAUAAAUGAAGUGAAGGGGGCGGUUUUCCACGCACAAGAUAAAAAAUAAUUUCAGCAAUGUCUGGAGGUUGAGCAGAUAUUGCUGGAAAUUGAACAUGGGGACACCCCCACCAAGAGACUUUUCUUCCGUGUACAUCCAAGGUUCAUUACGUUCUCACCGCCCCUCCGCGUGGUGGGUCUGAGAAUCCUCUUCUUUCUUUCCCCUUCCCCAAAGUGCAGAAAGUGGAGGUUGGGGGGAGGGUGUGGUGGUGACAAGCUCACCAACAAAGUACACUCCCUUCACUCUUCCCAAACCUAGCACCUGCCCUAAGCCCCAGCUAGAAAUGAGCAUUGAUUGAUAAACCGGCGCUAGAAGGAAUCUUUUGUGUUUGGGCACUUGGGAGCCAUGAAGACCACUCCGCGGUGAGCGAUUUCUUUCCUUGGGAGACUCAGUCUCAGCUGAUCAGAAUAUAUAACAAACUAGUUGUUGGAGGAAGAGAAUGGUAAACAGUCGCCAACAUGUGGGGUGGUGCAGUCUGUGUGUGCAAAUUCGCGACAAUUCGAGCCACGAGUGGCGGUUCUGGAUCGCCUUCUCCCUGGGGUUGGGUUUGCAGCUGCAGCGGGAGACACGACCGGGAGGAGGCCCGUGAGAACGCAGCCAUUCAGCCCUUGGCCGCGUGAAUUUACCUUGUAGCCUUCGAAAACUUAUACAGGUUAUAAUUUAUUAUUUUUAUUUACCCAAAUCAGAAGCAGAGGCGAGAAAAGGAACAUGCGCAGAGAAGGAAGACAGUAGGAGAGGGUAAAGGAAUAUAGGGAGGAGAGGGGGAGCCGCAGCCUACAAAGUAAGGUGCUGUGGGUUACUCCUUACCGCUUUGAAGUCCUCGCCCCCAAUUCAGAUGUAGCUUUUCUCCAGAUUAGGUUACAAAUUAAGGCAGGUAAAUUAGUACCCUUCUUGGGGCUAGGAUUGGGCCCUUGCUCACUCUCACUCUCCCAUCCAUUUCUGUUAUUCUUUUAGCUAUUAAUAAACUUUUUUUUUUUUUUAAUGCGUGAGAAGGAAGUCUGGAUCCAGCCUCUUUGGAGAUUCGGGGACCACCUGACGCGCCUGGAGUUCAAGGGCCAAGAACAGACUUUCUUGUGUGACAGGACUCACCUCCUGUGUCAGGUCUCUAGUGUGGGAAAUUAAACAAAAGUGUUAGAAAAGCUUAUGACCAUCGUCAAGUGU